UGUUUUACGCAUUUUGUGACGGAUAGGUUAGUGACAAAGGAAAAAAAAUUUUCUCAGUGUUUAUGUAUGUAUCGAUUUAAAUUGAUAAAUGCGUUUCGAAUAUAUUGGUAUUAAUCAUCGUGAAACAAUCGUAAUGAUAGGUUUUAUUAUAGUCGCGUAUUUUUACGACACGUUAUGCAACCGCACGUGAUAGAACACUUUAUAGGUUAUAUCCGACAUGAAGGUUAUGUUUGUCAAUCCCUUUCGGUCCACCCUGCUUUUCUAAUUUUAAUCUAGGGCCAAGUGUCAUCAAACAUUUUUACCAAAUAAGUGCCUCUUGACCAGCAAUCGAGGAUCAUCAUAAAUCCAUCUCGCGAAAUGGCAGACGAAAUCGAGAACGUCAAUCAAGAUUCUGCCUUAGAUGAAAUGGGACGAGAUAAGCAUUGCACCCCUGAAAAACGCGACCUUAUAAAAAAGUUAAUUUUGGAGGUUAAAACCUACGCUGAAAUCCAGAAUUAUAUAGGCUCCCCGACAAUGAUCUGAAAUGCUUUAAAAUACGAAUCAAAAUCCAAGAUAUGUGGACGCAAGCCGGCAAUGUCGCCGAAGUUAAUCAGACGAGUGAUUUGACACUCUAAAAGCAACCCAUUUAUGCCAGCAACACAAAUAAAAUAAUCUAAAUGUACAAGUAAGCCUUGAAACUGUUCGCAGACUGUUUAAGAGAACAUAACCUAGCAGCUCCGAGGAAAGGACCUCUUCUUACAAAAAAGCAUGUGGUAAAAAGAAUAAAAUUUGCGAGGAAGCAUUUAGAUUGGCUAGAAGAGAAAUGGAGAAAUAUUUUGUGGUCGGACGAGAGUAAAAUUGUGUUGGAUGGUGGAAAGAGGUCUCGACUCUACGUUAGACGGCCGCCUAAUACCGAAACAAUCCAAAAUUCAUCAUCAAAACGGAAAUUAUGCUGCCGUAUGCUCGCGAAGAAAUGCCACUGAUAUGAGUGUUCCAGCAGAACAAUGACCCGAAGCACACGAGCAAACUCGCUAAAAAGUGGUUUCAAGACAAUCAGGUUGAGGUCAUGGAGUGGCCCGCACAAUCGCCAGAUCUCAACCCAAUUGAGAAUCUGUAGUGUGACGUUAAAAACGCGAUUGCUAGUCGCAAGCCAGCUAAUAAUAAUGAACUUUGGACAGUGGUGCAACAAUCUUGGAGCUCUAUAUCUGUAAAAAGGUAUCAAGAUCUCUCCAUGUCAACUCCAUGAAGCGUCGAUGUGCUGCAGUUAUAUUCAACAAAGGAUAUGCAACUAAAUAUUAAUUUGACGUAAAAAUAUCGAAAUUCUGUUUAAGGAUUAAAUUUAGCAACUAAUAUUAUCUUUUUGUUUCUUCUUUAGCAUAAAAGGUCCAAUACUACUAUUUUUUUGACCAUCCACGUUUUGAUAC